UGGGGAAUUUUGGACAAUGGGCGCAAGCCUGAUCCAGCAAUGCCGCGUGUGUGAAGAAGGCCUUCGGGUUGUAAAGCACUUUUGGCGGGAGCGAAACGGCGUUUGCUAAUACCAGACGCUAAUGACGGUACCCGCAGAAUAAGCACCGGCUAACUACGUGCCAGCAGCCGCGGUAAGACGUAGGGUGCGAGCGUUAAUCGGAAUUACUGGGCGUAAAGCGUGCGCAGGCGGCUUUGUAAGACAGGUGUGA
rnacentral:rRNA from 1 species